GUUUGGUGUGUUGUUUUAUCGCGUUAGUGUCUCAUGAUGAUGGGGAUUCACAGAUUGCUGUGCCCCACUGUUUUUCCCUUGUCACGUUGUUGUAACUGAAUCGCCAGUUCAGAUUCAGAAUCUGCCCGUGUUAGGGUUCCUCUGCUUGUUGGACUGCUAACGUACAGUUUUUUCAGAAGGGCGUAAAUCCAAAGGGCUCUGCAGAGUCAAAGAUAAUUUACCAACCUGCACUUCUCAGAGUCGUACAGAUUCUCAUUUCACUGCUCCCUCAACUGUAAAGUCUGGAGAAAGCUGAAUGGGAGGAGCUUGCCUUCCGCCUACCUCGGCCAGCUUGCAGGCUCUCCCAACCGCCACAGGAGUCGCUAGAGCGCGAUGAGACACGGAGAUCCCCGCUUGCCAUCCCUCCCUUACCCAGGAAGUGGCUGAGUCAGUUUGCAUCAUCCAUCUGGGAUGCUCUGCCGCAGCCUGGCCUUGGCUUGAAUUCAGGCAGCCAAUGGAGUGCAGUGCCCCAGAUCACAGGGGUGUUUGGGAAACCAAAGGUUGUAUGUUUUUGAAAGAUUUCCAUGUUAUUGUGCAGGAUUAGUAUCAUCAUGUGCUGAACUCGCUUGCUACUGAUCUUCUGAGGGUCUUCUUGUUGCUGGUCUUCUGAGGGUCUUCUUGUUACUGGUCUUCUGAGGGUCUUCAUGUUACUGGUCUUCUGAGGGUUUUCUUGUUACUGGUCUUCUGAGGGUCUUCUUGUUAAUGGUCUUCUGAGGGUCUUCUUGUUACUGAUCUUCUGAGGGUCUUCUUGUUACUGGUCUUCUAAGGGUUUUCUUGUUACUGGUCUUCAGAGGGUAUUAUUGUUACUGAUCUUCUGAGGGUUUUCUUAUUACUGGUCUUCUGAGGGUCUUCUUGUUACUGGUCUUCUGAGGGUAUUCUUGUUACUGAUCUUCUGAAGGUCUUCUUGUUACUGGUCUUCUAAGGGUUUUCUUGUUACUGGUCUUCUGAGGGUCUUCUUGUUACUGGUCUUCUGAGGGUCUUCUUGUUACUGGUCUUCUGAGGGUCUUCAUGCCUGCCACGUUGAAGAUUGUCUGCCCUGGGAUUCAAGGUUUGUUGCCGAGGGCUGGACAGGAAUGCAUCAGGCUUCG
ensembl:lncRNA